rnacentral:rRNA from 1 species
GACAGAGGGGGCAAGCGUUGCUCGGAAUCACUGGGCGUAAAGGGCGCGUAGGCGGGAUGGCAAGUCGGUCGUGAAAUCCUUCGGCUCAACCGAAGAACGUCGGCCGAUACUGCCGUUCUUGAGGGAUGCAGAGGAGAUUGGAAUUCCCGGUGUAGCGGUGAAAUGUGUAGAGAUCGGGAGGAACACCGGUGGCGAAGGCGGGUCUCUGGGCGGUAACUGACGCUGAGGAGCGAAAGCGUGGGGAGCGAACAGG